AACGAACGCUGGCGGCAUGCCUAACACAUGCAAGUCGAACGCUAUCUUGAUAGAGUGGCGCACGGGUGAGUAACGCGUGGGAACCUGCCUUUCUCUGCGGGACAACGGUUGGAAACGACCGCUAAUACCGCAUACGCCCUACGGGGGAAAGGUCAGCCGGAGAAAGAGGGGCCCGCGUUCGAUUAGCUAGUUGGUAGGGUAAAAGCCUACCAAGGCGACGAUCGAUAGCUGGUCUGAGAGGAUGAUCAGCCACACUGGGACUGAGACACGGCCCAGACUCCUACGGGAGGCAGCAGUGGGGAAUCUUGCACAAUGGAGGAAACUCUGAUGCAGCGAUGCCGCGUGAGUGAAGAAGGCCUUUGGGCUGUAAAGCUCUUUCGUCGGGGAAGAAAAUGACUGUACCCGAAUAAGAAGGUCCGGCUAACUUCGUGCCAGCAGCCGCGGUAAUACGAAGGGACCUAGCGUAGUUCGGAAUUACUGGGCUUAAAGAGUUCGUAGGUGGUUGAAAAAGUUGGUGGUGAAAUCCCAGAGCUUAACUCUGGAACUGCCAUCAAAACUUUUCAGCUAGAGUAUGAUAGAGGAAAGCAGAAUUUCUAGUGUAGAGGUGAAAUUCGUAGAUAUUAGAAAGAAUACCAAUUGCGAAGGCAGCUUUCUGGAUCAUUACUGACACUGAGGAACGAAAGCAUGGGUAGCGAAGAGGAUUAGAUACCCUCGUAGUCCAUGCCGUAAACGAUGUGUGUUAGACGUUGGAAAUUUAUUUUCAGUGUCGCAGCGAAAGCGAUAAACACACCGCCUGGGGAGUACGACCGCAAGGUUA
rnacentral:rRNA from 1 species